CCUACGGGUGGCAGCAGUGAGGAAUAUUGGUCAAUGGGCGGAAGCCUGAACCAGCCAAGUCGCGUGAGGGAUUAAGGCCCUGCGGGUCGUAAACCUCUUUUGCCGGGGAGCAGUGGUCCGGACGCGUCUGGACCGGGAGAGUACCCGGAGAAAAAGCAUCGGCUAACUCCGUGCCAGCAGCCGCGGUAAUACGGAGGAGGCAAGCGUUAUCCGGAAUGACUGGGCGUAAAGGGUGCGUAGGUGGUUUGACAAGUUGGUAGCGUAACUCCGGGGCUCAACCUCGGCACUACUACCAAAACUGUCGGACUUGAGUGCAGGAGGGGCAAAUGGAAUUCCUAGUGUAGCGGUGGAAUGCGUAGAUAUUAGGAGGAACACCAGUGGCGAAGGCGAUUUGCUGGACUGUAACUGACACUGAGGCACGAAAGCGUGGGGAGCAAACAGGAUUAGAUACCCCUGUAGUC
rnacentral:rRNA from 1 species